rnacentral:sRNA from 1 species
CUUGGUCUACAAGAUAAGUGAUACGACUUCGAAAAUCUAUGGCCUUAGAAACGUGUUGUUGAGAAUAAAAACUAUCACGGAGCCAAAGUAUCGUUCAAACAACAAAAGCAAGCGCUCACCGUACAGCAUUACGCGGCUCUAGCCUUUCGAUAUGGCUAAGGAUAACAAUACGUUUUUUACUAGAGCCUCGAUCCGAGCACUCUGAGGGAAGUAUAACCUAACCUAACAUUGAUAGAUAACCUUGACUUGGAGUAGCGCUUCCAUUGUGCGCUCGCUACUCACUUGCUUUCUGAUACACCCUGGGAUGUUUUCUGUAGGACAAAUUUCAAAUUUUCGAAUUUGUUCUUCAAAUGUAUUGUUCUGCAUCGAGCGACGCUGCCCUCAUUCGUCCAUUUGUUCGGCCAGAAUCACACCAUCACAGUAUUGCUCGAUCGCAAGGGACCAUAUCUAGUUAGGACUGAGUUUCUGAACGGCUUGAACUUUCAGC